CUCGAAAAAAGGGGAAAUGUGCCAAAAAUGUAAAUGUCAUUUUUUAAAUUGAAAAAGGUUUCCAAUUAAAAUGCAUGAGAAAUUCGAACCAUAAUUGCAUUACUUAAAAAAAUUUACCCAGCCCACGUCAUUUUUUUGUUGGGUCAAGCACAUAUUUGAGAUUAGACUACAAAACCCAUAAGCGAAAAAAAGAGAAAGAAUAGAAACCCAUCAUUAAGUAGAAACACAUCUCAACCAAUAUUUACAAAAAAAAUUUGUUCAUGUGAAGCGACUAAGCAUUUUCAUGGUUGACGGAGGAUGACGCAUCUCAGACCGUGAAGCCAAUUUAGUGAAGAAGGUGAAACAAUUAUGAUGUCAAUUUGGUGGAGCAAUCAAGACCAGCUUUGAAGCAUCUGGGAAGCAAAUUUAUGAUUCGAGUAUCUAUAGACAGAAAUUCCAUGCAUCUGCCAUUGAUGUUAUUUCUUGGGAAAAUUCGAUUUCUUAUCAUUUUGUUCAUGGAUUCUUAAGUUACAAUUUUGCACAACGUCUAAUUAAAAAGAUGGAGCCACUCAAAGGGCUGGUAGAAAAGUUGCUUGCUUCAGGUAACUUCAUUUACACAGGCUGGUUUGGCUCUUGGAGAUCUCAGAUCAGUAAAGGAUCUGUAUGAUUUUAAGACUUUGUCCGUGCUAUUCCUCAUUGGAUCCAUCUCUAUAUUCCCUGCCCUCCUAAAGAGAAAGAGAGUGAGUAUAUGAUAAACGUGUUAAAGGGCUGGUAGAAAAGUUACAAUUCAUGCUAGUGCUACGACUCAAUGCUCUCUUUCAGUCAAUUUGUCCAUGAGGAAUCAGAGAAUGAUUAUGAGGGGAGGGGGCCGAUGAGAUUAAAAUCCAAACCAAAAUCCCAAAAAAUUUCAUCCCUAAUUCCCAAAAUCAAUCUCGAUUUCUCCCUAAUCUCUUCACUUGUCAAAGUUCCCUUCUCAAAUUGAUAAGAUAGACGAAGGUUUAAGGUGUCUGAGGCUUCUGAAUGUGCUAUGCGUUACAGAAACUUCGGUUGAGCCCUUGUGCAAGGUCUUGAUCUAGAACCGUGAAACAUUAACUUCCAUUGAAUUUCUUCACUGCAAGUUUUCUUCGAGUGCAAUCCGUGCAUUAAGAUGAGUUUUUCAGAGAUCAAAAUCAAUUUACAUUAUGGAGGAUUAAUGAAGUAUGAGAACAAGACAGUCAAUUACAUAGGAGGAUCUCUAAAGCAGGGAAUAGUCAUCGAUCCUGACUAUAUGACAUGGUCGAUGUUUGAUUCAUUUUGUGAAGACAAUGGGAUCCCUGGGUUGGUUGAACACGCACAUCAGGAUAUGGGUUUAGUAAAGAAAAUCUUGGUGCUUAAUUCAGAUGCAGAUAUCAAUGAAAUGUGUGCUACAUUUCUCCUUACACUGGUCGAGUUUUUGAAGUAUGGGGAUCUAGAGCUACAGAUUUGGAUGUUAGCAACACCAAACCAACCUCAGGAACUUCUGACAUUUAGUCGCUUUUGUUGCAUGGAUCAUCUUUGUUUUUGAUUUAUUAACUCAGGUGUUUUAAUUGACUUGUUGUUGUUUUUGCAAACAUCCAUUAAACAUCCAAGAAAGGGAAAAAUUGCUGCGCCAAUUUGUUGUUGUCUCGUGGGGAGGUUUCAUUGUUGUCACUGCAAUGAUCCUGAAAAUAGUGUGGUUUGGUGUUGUCUUAGGUCGUUUGGUGUUGUCUUAUGUUGUUAGUAUUGUCUUUGGUA